rnacentral:rRNA from 1 species
AGAACGAACGCUGGCGGCAUGCCUAAUACAUGCAAGUCGAACGAACACUUCGGUGUUAGUGGCGCACGGGUGCGUAACGCGUGGGAAUCUGCCCUUGGGUUCGGAAUAACAGUUGGAAACGACUGCUAAUACCGGAUGAUAUCGAAAGAUCAAAGAUUUAUCGCCCAGGGAUGAGCCCGCGUAGGAUUAGCUAGUUGGUGAGGUAAAGGCUCACCAAGGCGACGAUCCUUAGCUGGUCUGAGAGGAUGAUCAGCCACACUGGGACUGAGACACGGCCCAGACUCCUACGGGAGG